ACUGAGACACGGCCCGGACUCCUACGGGAGGCAGCAGUGGGGAAUCUUGGACAAUGGGCGCAAGCCUGAUCCAGCCAUGCCGCGCUGUGUGAAGAAGGCCUUCGGGUUGUAAAGCACUUUCAGUAGGGAGGAAGGCUUUGGGCUAAUACCCUGGAGUACUUGACGUUACCUACAGAAGAAGCACCGGCUAAUUUUCGUGCCAGCAGCCGCGGUAAUACGAAAGGUGCGAGCGUUAAUCGGAAUUACUGGGCGUAAAGCCGCGCGUAGGCGGUGUGUUAAGUCGGAUGUGAAAGCCCA
rnacentral:rRNA from 1 species